UCCCUGCUGGCUCAGCUGGUAGAGAAUCUGCCUGCAAUGCAGGAGACCUGGGUUCAAUCCCUGGGUUGGGAC
rnacentral:tRNA from 1 species